UUUGGUCUAGAGGUAUACCUAGAGUCAACAAAAUGAGAGUGAGAUAAAGGCUUUUAAAUUAAUACUUUUCUACUAAAAAGUGAUUCAAUACAUUAACACAAGCCAAUGAAUUAUUGAGUCCCCGAGGUACGCCGGGGUCCAUGUUCCAAUCUCUCUUUUCUGUUAUAUUUUCCAAACUUUAUUAUAAUUUCAGUAUUAAAUACUCCUAAAUCAAAUUUUCAUAAGCCUUAGAUUUAC
rnacentral:lncRNA from 1 species